CGAUGGGGCCUCUGCAACAGGAGCUGCGUGAACCCCGCCAGGCCCGGAAGGGAGCAACGGUAGCGUGGUUUCCUGUGUGCCGGAGUGUCCCUGUCGAGC
rfam:Deferribacter desulfuricans SSM1 DNA, complete genome.